AGGGGUGUAGCUCAGUGGUAGAGCUCAUGCUUUGCACAUGUGAGGCCCUGGGUUCAGUUCCCAGCAUCUCAA
rnacentral:tRNA from 1 species